GAAGCUAAAGGAUUUAUUCACUUCCCGAGGGGCUCGCGGCCCAUCAGCUUGUUGGUGAGGGUAACGGCCCACCAAGGCGACAACGGGUAGCUGGUCUGAGAGGAUGGUCAGCCACACUGGAACUGAGACACGGUCCAGACACCUACGGGUGGCAGCAGUCGAGAAUCAUUCGCAAUGGGGGAAACCCUGACGAUGCGACGCCGCGUGGAGGAUGAAGGCCUUAGGGUUGUAAACUCCUGUCAAGAGGGAAUAAGCAAGUGAAGGUACCUCUAGAGGAAGGGGCGGCUAAUUCCGUGCCAGCAGCCGCGGUAACACGGAAGCCCCGAGCGUUGUUCGGAUUCAUUGGGCGUAAAGGGUGCGUAGGCGGCGCGGAAAGUCCGGCGUGAAAGGCAGGGGCUCAACCUCUGGACUGCGUUGGAUACUUCCGUGCUUGAGGACUGGAGGGGAGACUGGAAUUCACGGUGUAGCAGUGAAAUGCGUAGAUAUCGUGAGGAAGACCGGUGGCGAAGGCGAGUCUCUGGACAGAUCCUGACGCUGAGGCACGAAGGCUGGGGGAGCGAACAGGAUUAGAUACCCAGGUAGUCCCAGCAGUAGACGAUGUGAGCUUGAUGUGGGGGGAUUCGACCCCUUCCGUGUCGAAGCUAACGCGAUAAGCUCACCGCCUGAGGAGUACGGCCGCAAGGCUAAAACUCAAAGAAAUUGACGGGGACCCGCACAAGCGGUGGAGUAUGUGGCUUAAUUCGAUGCAACGCGAAGAACCUUACCUGGCCUUGACAUGCAUUGUGUCGUCGGUGAAAGCCGGCUAGUCCUGGAAACAGGACGCUUUGCACAGGUGCUGCAUGGCUGUCGUCAGCUCGUGUCGUGAGAUGUUGGGUUAAGUCCCGCAACGAGCGCAACCCUUGUGGUCAGUUACUAACCGGCUUAGCCGGAGGACUCUGGCCAGACUGCCCUGUCAAACGGGGAGGAAGGUGGGGACGACGUCAAGUCAGUAUGGCCCUUAUGGCCAGGGCUGCACACGUACUACAAUGCCCGGUACAAUGUGAACCGAAACCGCGAGGUGGAGGAAAUCGCUCUUGAAAACCGGGCCCAGUUCGGAUUGGAGUCUGCAACUCGACUCCAUGAAGUCGGAAUCGCUAGUAAUG
rnacentral:rRNA from 1 species